rnacentral:rRNA from 1 species
CCUACGGGUGGCAGCAGUGAGGAAUAUUGGUCAAUGGGCGCGAGCCUGAACCAGCCAAGUAGCGUGAAGGAUGACUGCCCUAUGAGUUGUAAACUUCUUUUAUAUGGGAAUAAACUGUUCCACGUGUGGGAGUUUGUAUGUACCAUAUGAAUAAGGAUCGGCUAACUCCGUGCCAGCAGCCGCGGUAAUACGGAGGAUCCGAGCGUUAUCCGGAUUUAUUGGGUUUAAAGGGAGCGUAGGUGGAUUGUUAAGUCAGUGGUGAAAGUUUGCGGCUCAACCGUAAAAUUGCAGUUGAAACUGGCAGUCUUGAGUAUAGUAGAGGUGGGCGGAAUGCGUGGUGUAGCGGUGAAAUGCUUAGAGAUCACGAAGAACUCCGAUUGCGAAGGCAGUUCAC